rnacentral:rRNA from 1 species
AUACUUAGGGUGCAAGCGUUAAUCGGAAUUACUGGGCGUAAAGCGCUCGUAGGCGGCUUGUUAAGUCGGAUGUGAAAUCCCCGGGCUCAACCUGGGAACUGCAUUCGAUACUGGCAAGCUAGAGUAUAGUAGAGGCAAGUGGAAUUCCGGGUGUAGCGGUGAAAUGCGUAGAUAUCCGGAGGCACAUCAGUGGCGAAGGCGACUUGCUGGACUAAUACUGACGCUGAGGAGCGAAAGCGUGGGGAGCAAACGGGAUUAGAUACCCCAGUAGUCC